CUGACCAGUGGCCACACUGUCGUGGUUCUAUCUCCCCGACCCUCAGCUCCUCCCCUCUUUCCUUCCCUGCUUUCCCCUUCUCCUCCACCAGCCUCCCGGCAGUGUGGGACAAUCCAGCUGAUCCCUGUCCUGUGCUGAGCUGGGCCCAGCCGGAAUUUGCUGUUGAUCCCAGAAGAGGAGCAGCAAGGAGCAGUGGGCUUUCCAUUCAGAUUUUCCCAAGAAGCAGAACUUGAGUCAGGCUUGGAGCAGUGGAGGAAGGGGAAGAACACACUUUCUCUGCUCAGAUGAACUCAGGAAGGUGACUUUGUCCUGCCACCACCAUGUAGCACCCAGAUUGGAAAUUCUUGUGCAGCAAACCUAAGGAGCGCAUUCUUGGCAGCUGACUGAUUGAUACAUCUGGGACAGCCUAAUGAAGAUAUGAUGCGAUUAAAUAUCAUCCCGUUGUCUCUCUACCAACUCACCCCCACUCCAUAUCACGACCAGAGUCUAGAUCAUUUUCCUCUUCUUCAGGACCCUCACCAUUUUUUCUGGAGAAACUGAAUGCUGAUGUUUACCGCUGCACUACUGUAUCAGCUAGAUUGUACUGCAGUGACAAACAACUCCAACAUCUCAAUGGCUUAAAUGACAAAGAGGGAAGCCAGCUGUCAUGCUGUGAGCUGCUCAUGCGACGAGGAACUGAAGCCUCUAGCCAAUAGCCAGUGAGUACUUGAGGUUUACCAACGGUUAUAAGUGAUCUUGAGAUGACUGCGCCCUAGCUGACACCUCGAUUAUAGCCUGUGAGACCCUGAGCUGAGGACUCCCCUACCAGAUUCCUGAUCCACAGAAAUCGUGAUAUAAAAAAUGUUUGUUCUUGUAAACCACUAAGUUUGAGGGUAAUUCUUUAUCAACCACAGAUAACUAUAACAUUCAUUUAUUCAAUAAAUAUCUAAUAGCACUAUAUGAAGCACUUAGGACACAUUAGUGAGCACAAUAGACCUGAUUUCUAUCCUUAUAGAGUUUAAAUUAAUUUAAACAGGCUUCUAAGCUGCAGAAAUAGACAGAGGCUUUAAUAUGCAAAUGUUCAUCAUGAAACUCUAAGAGAGGAAGAAUGGGUCUCUAACUUUUAAACUUUUUUUUCCCCUCUGCAUUUCAUAGGGUUAAUGUUUUAUGGAACACAUACUGGAAAAUUCUCUAUUAGCUAAAUGAGUAAAUGAAUUAAAGUUGUCAUUUUAAAGGCUUAAGCUCCCCUGCAAAAAUUUUAGAGUAUGUCCCACUUUGUUCAUUAUAGGCUUAAUAGCCAUUCUCCUUUUCCUGAACCC